AGAGUUUGAUCCUGGCUCAGGAUGAACGCUAGCUACAGGCUUAACACAUGCAAGUCGAGGGGAAACGACAUCGAAAGCUUGCUUUUGAUGGGCGUCGACCGGCGCACGGGUGGGUAACGCGUAUCCAACCUGCCCACCACUUGGGGAUAACCUUGCGAAAGUAAGACUAAUACCCAAUGACGUCUUUCUAGAAGACAUCUGAAAGGGAUUAAAGAUUUAUCGGUGAUGGAUGGGGAUGCGUCUGAUUAGCUUGUUGGCGGGGUAACGGCCACCAAGGCUACGAUCAGUAGGGGUUCUGGAGAGGAAGGUCCCCCANAUUGGAACUGAGACACGGUCCAAACUCCUACGGGAGGCA
rnacentral:rRNA from 1 species